rnacentral:rRNA from 1 species
UACGUAGGGUGCAAGCGUUGUCCGGAAUUAUUGGGCGUAAAGAGUUCGUAGGCGGUUUGUCGCGUCGUUUGUGAAAACCAGCAGCUCAACUGCUGGCUUGCAGGCGAUACGGGCAGACUUGAGUACUGCAGGGGAGACUGGAAUUCCUGGUGUAGCGGUGAAAUGCGCAGAUAUCAGGAGGAACACCGGUGGCGAAGGCGGGUCUCUGGGCAGUAACUGACGCUGAGGAACGAAAGCGUGGGUAGCGAACAGG